AGCUCGGGCUCUGGCGGGCAGAGAGGGACGGUGGCAGAACCUGCGGGCUAGGUGGGAGGCUCACCCUCUGGGAGGAAAGGAAGCGAGGAUCGCGCGGCCGGAGAGCGAGGAGACGCUUGGAGUCCAGGGUUCGGGCCGCCCACACCUCCUCCUGCGGCGGACACGGCACAGCGGGCGGCGCACCGGCCGCAUCCGCGACCCUGAGCGCAGGGAGCAGGAGGAGAGUGGCUCAAGGAGACUUGAUUUUCUUGGGUUUGCUGCAAUUCCUUAAACCGAACCAGGCUUUCGGGGCGUUAAAGGAAAUUACUGUCUACAGGUGGCAGUGUGGAAGCCAAAACGGGAGCUUCCAGAAGUGGUUUCUGAAAAAUAAGAGUGAAUAUGCACGAGGGAGCUCGGACAGGAAUCACAAAAACCGCAGGGUCUUCCUCUGAGCCAACGGAGGAGGCGGAUUGGGGAGGCCUGAUGUGGACGGUGGCGGGCCUCCUUGUCCUUCCAGAAGCCGUAGUGGCAGCCGUGGCCUGUCUUCCAGAGGUAUGAGCUGUGAGGAUGAGCCUUUCCUUGACUAUUCUUGGGUAAGGGUGAGGGAGGAGCAACAGAGGGUGGGAGCCCCUCUUUUCCUUCUCCCUGCAGGAGUGAGUGAUCUCCAUUCUGUCCCGGAAAAUGGCCGCCCCCACCCCCGGCCCACCCUAAGGUGGGCCUUGCCCGGCUCUGCGGCUGUUUUUCCUCCCAGGAAAGCCCAGCAGGGUGCCGUGGGGUGGGUGAGGGCAGGAGGAUUGCCCGUGGCCGUGCCCAACAGCUUGAAGGAGAGACCUGAGGUGUCUGGGGGGAAAUGCCUGUGUGCUUGGAAUGUGACUCCCUGGGGAUCCCCAACCCUCAGGCAUUUCAGCAAUGGAGGCCGAGUAUGGGGUGAACGGGGCAAGGGGGGAGGGGGAUUGAGGGGCCAGGGGUACCGUUCUUCAGCUGGCUCUGGCCUGCCUCCUGGGAUGCACAGGUAACUGCCACGUGUGCCUCAUAGCAAGGGAUCGUUCGUUUUAGGAGGCAGAUGAGAAGGGAGGCAAGGACUUUCUGCCUCGCGGAUGACCGUUCGGAGACCCAAAGAAAACACUUUUCAAAGAUUUUUGGCAAGUGGCUUCUAAAGAUAAGUUUACAGUGUGGGUUUCGUCCCCAAACAUUUUUUUUUUAAUUUUUUAAAAUGUUUGGGGCGCCUGGGUGGCACAGUCGGUUGAGCGUCCGACUUCAGCCAGGUCACGAUCUCGCGGUCCGUGAGUUCGAGCCCCGCGUCGGGCUCUGGGCUGAUGGCUCAGAGCCUGGAGCCUGUUUCCGAUUCUGUGUCUCCCUCUCUCUCUGCCCCUGCCCCGUUCAUGCUCUGUCUCUCUCUGUCCCAAAAAUAAAUAAACGUUGAAAAAAAAAAAAUUAAAAUGUUUACUUAUUUUUGGUAAAGAGAGAGACAGAGCAUGAGCAGAGGAGGGUAGGGAGAGAGAGGGAGGCACAGAAUCCGAAGCAGGCUCCAGGCUCCGAGCUGUCGGCCCAGAGCCCGACGCGGGGCUCGAACCCACAAACUGCGAGAUCAUGACCCGAGCUGAAGUCGGAGGCCUAACCCACUGAGCCACCCAGGCGCCCCUCCCAACAUUUUUCUUUCUUUUUUUUUUUUUUUUUUAUGAAAAACUCCCAAGUCUGCAGCAAAGCGGAAAAAGUUUUGGAGUGGGCACACAUAAAUGCCUACCACCUGGAUUAGUAGCAUCUUAAGAUACUUGCUUUUUCAAAUACCUAACCAUCUAGUUGCUCAUCCAGCCAUCCAUGAGUCCAUUUUAUGUUCCGAUGUGGUAAAAAAACCAAAACCAAAAACCACUUUUCCCCAAAUGCUUCUGCAUUAGUAGUUCGGUAUUUGUUUUUCAAAGGCUUUGUAGGUAAAAUCUGCACGCGAGGAAACGCACAGAUCGGAAGCGUCGGGUGCGGUCUUUUCCAUCAUUUUGUCAGAUGUUACCACACCUGCCCUCUGGAUCUUGUCGCAGAAUUUCUAUCGAUUAUUCAGGAAGUGCAGUUUUAAACGCCGUUGGGAAUGAGACCGUAUGAGGAGCAUGUUGUAAAGAUGCUGUUCGCUGUAACAUGAAGUUUGUGCCUUUACCACCCUGGCCUUUCUCUUAGUUCUUUUCCCCUCUCCACUCCCUUUCUCCUCCCCACCCCCUCCCCGCCAGGAGGGCGGGCGGUGGUAAGAAAGCAGAGUGGUUGAUUGAAGAUUUUUUUUUAAAUUUUACUUCGAUACCUUUAUGAGGCAUUUUUUUUUUUUUAUUUGAGGGAGGAAGGGGACAAGGGCAAAGGGAGAGAGAGAGAGAGAGAGAGAAAGACAGAGCACAAGCAGGGGAGGGGCAGAGAGAGAGGGAGGCACAGAAUCCGAAGCAGGCCCCAGGCUCCGAGCUGUCAGCACCGGAGCCUGAUGUCGGGCUCGAAUUCCCGAACCGCGAGAUCGUGACCUGGGCUGAAGUCAGACACACCUUCUAGAAGGAGUGUACCGUUUACUUGGGAAGAGAGGAUGGAGGUAUGUGGUAGGUCGUGAAGAAGCAGGAUAUGGUUAAGUGUAGGAAGUGCUCCAAGAGCCAGCAGUGGCUGGCAGCCAGCGAUGAGGGAAGGUUCUGGAGGGGUAUCUGCUUUGAGGUGGUUCUGUGUGGAGGGAGAGGAAAAGGGGAGAGGGCUUUCAAGGUCCCUGUGGCCUGCUCACAGCAGGGACGCUUUGGCCUUCAAUCCAGCAGAACUGAUGGCCGAUUCGAGGAGGUCUUGACCGAUAAUGUUGAAAAGGUAACUUGUCACGAUUGUGACGGGCCGUAAGUGACCGGUCCUUUGGAAAGGCCAGUACGGUCUCUAGUGUUCCCUGGAUUAUUUUCCAUUUCUCCCCUGUGGUUAGCAGAAAUCCUACUCUUUGAUUUUUUUUCUUUUGGUCAGGAGAACGAAUGGUAUCCGUUUCUCGAUCCAUGGUUUGAAUAAGAAACUUUUCAUCUGAAGGUUUAAAGGCGAGGGUCCCCUUUUCACGAGAAGAAUGAAGAGUUGUACUCCUUUUAUUAAUGGGGACUUGGUCACUGUUGAAACCACAAACAAACAAAAAAGGCCCAGCAGCAUUUCUUGCAUAUAGUUACUGGGCUCCUUAAACGUUGCCAAAUACCGGAGGGAAAGGAAAAUCAGAAAAGUUUGAGGGGGGGGGGUUGGUGGUUUAAAAAAUAUAGUGACUAACUCCUUGUGCUGACUAAUGCCAGUGAACUCAUAAUGAGUAACAAUAGUGAAUUUAGAAGGGAGAUUAAAUAGAACAGCUAUUUAAAGGUUGCUUUAAUUCAAAAGACAGCCGAGUUGGUCACACAAGUCAGGAUUCCCUUUGGGAAAUUCAGAAGUAGUUCAUUUCACCCCUACAAGGAAGGUUCUGUCUCUCUCCUUUAUCGAAAGGAGUCCUCUUAGGGUGGUUAGAGAUCAGUUCUGUCAAGGGUGGCUCCUUUUCCACUCGUCUCUUGGGGUGGGGGGAUUCUUGGCAGAUGAUCUUGCUUGUGCUUUUGUGUUGGAGAAGUAACAUAGGUGGCCGCUGAUAAGCAAGAACAACCAAUCGAUGUAAAAGGACAAACAAACAAACAAACAAAACUUGGUUGGUGAUGCCCGUGAACUGGAAACGCAAGGUUUGCUUGAGUUUAUUUUCUCAGUUUUUGUUGCUAACCGUGGCAUACAAAGAGAGGAACUGCCCGACCGUCCUUUUCGUAUCUGUAAAUUUUUUCAAUUGAAUAUUUUUUAAAAUGAAGAUUAUAUAAUCGAGCAACAGUGCAGCUGACCAAAAGGUACAAACAUGGGAAAGUCUGUUGUGGAAUUUUCAAUGAUCUGAGUGUUGACCGGAAAAUGGUUUUGUUUUUUUUUUUUUUUUUCCAUCCUUGUUGAAAAUAUUUAAAAAAUAGAUUUUUUCAGUUUAUUUUUUGGGAGAGAGAGGGAGGGAGAGCAGGGGAGGGGCAGAGAGAGAGGUAGAGCGAGAAUCCCACGCAGGCUCCGCACUGUCAGUGCAGAGCCUGAAAUGGGGCUCGAACCCAUGAACUAGGAGAUCAUGACCUGAGCCGAAAUCCAGAGUCAGACGCCUAACUGACUGAGGCACCCCGAAAAUAUUUUUAAAUGUUCAUUUUCCUUGGAACUCCUUUUUCCCAACUUCACUUGACCCUGAGACAGAUAAGGGGACUUGUCAUUUCCUGUCACACCAUCUGUCGUAUUUUUAUUGAUGCAGAUGAGGGAACCGGUCUCUAAGUCCCCAGUAGACUCCAGCCCAGUGCCCAGCAUGUAGUAGGUACUUACUAGUUGAUCAAAAAAAAAAAAAAGGUAAUCACAUUAAAGAUGGAUUUGUCUAGAUGUGUUUUGGGGAUGAUGAUGUCGUAGAUGAUUUUAUCUUGAAAAACAUAUCACACUCAUCUAAACCUGUGACAUGACUGCAUAUUCACCUUUUAGCUAAAAUCUUUACAUGAGUUUAUUUUCCCAUUGCUUUUUCUUUUUGUAAGUUUACUCCUUUUUUUAGUAAUCUCUACACCCACCGUGGGGCUUGAACUCACAACCCCGAGAUCAGGAGUCCCAAGCUCUACCGACUGAGCCCGGCAGGCGCCCCUCGUAUUGUUUUUUUCUGUUACAUUUUGUUUUCUCUCAGUAUUUGGGAUUUCCAGGCACUUAGGUCACUCUUCAGUUUUAUAUUGUGUAUGUAUUGAGAACAUAAUAAUAUUAUAAUUAUAUUUCUAUAUAGAUAAUUUUCCCCGUUUAAUAUGAUAAAUAAGUAAGAAAAUUAUCUCAAAAUGCAUGAAUUUGAAUGGCAUGAAUAGAGAAGACAAAGCCUCGUUUCCUUGGUGAAGAUAUUAUCUGAAGGUCUUUGAACAAUUUAUUGAAUGGGGUAUUUAUUUAACGAAAUUCAAGUCCAUAGGCAAGUUCACGAGCAAUUUUGCUUUUUUUAAAGAAAUCUAAUGGCUUGGAAAUAAUGAAUUGAAAUUCUUAUUAAAGCAUAUGAGUUUUCUCUCAGUUUAAUUUCUUCAACAUGAAGAAGCCAAUAUUUGCAUGUAAAGCUGGAGGUAAUUUAAGUAAUUUUGCCUUCAAUUCAGCAGACUUCUUUUUCAGAGUUCGAGGUGCUGAGGGCAGACUCCCAAAAUACCCUUCCCCCCCCCAACUGGUGGUUAAUUUAGAUGAAGUUUUAGAGCACAAGAAAAAGCACCCAUACUGUAGAACUUGGUGUGGUAGUUAAGGAAAAUUUCUCGUAAAAAUUUGGCUUUCACAAUCAGAGGAAACAGUUUUUAAAAGGAAAUCGUUUGUAAGAUCCAAUUUGGUCAUUGUCUUCUACCCUUUAUAGACUUUGUUGCUUAUAGGAGAGUGAGAAACGAAUAGAGAGAGGGAUUUCUAUGGACAUUUAAUUAAAGAAUUGCCUCAAGCUUUUUGCGUGCCACCUUAACCUAAACUGGGAUCGUCUCCUGUUUUCCUGUCUUCUGGUUGGGGCUGGGGCCAGGUGCUAGAAGGAUGCUCUCUCCUGUAGAAUCACUAUUUCCAGUUCGUUCGGAUGUACUAUAAAUGUUUAUUCCGUACCAUUCAGAGAUCGAAUGCUCUCCAAUCUUAUCCGAUCCAGAACUUGGGAAAUAGGUUCGUGAACAGCAUGACUCGAUUUUCAUUUUGACAUGUAAGCGCCCCCAAAGGCGUUUAAUCCCUUCUUUUCUUUUUCUUUUUAAAAUUUUUUUUUCGUUUACAUUUUAUUUAUUUUUGAGAGAGAAAGAGAGGACACGCGAGCGCCAGUGGGAGAGGGGCAGAGAGAGAGAGGGAGACACAGAAUCUGAAGCAGGCUCCAGGCUCCGAGCUGCCAGCACAGAGCCCGACGUGUGGGGCUCGAACUCACAAACCGGGAGAUCGUGACCUGAGCUGAAGUCGGACGCUUAACCCAUUGAGCCACCCAGGCGCCCCUGAUCCCUUUAAAAAAAAAAAAAAUCACAUUAGCGAUGCUGGAAAUCCCUUGCCUAAACUCAAACUUCAGAAUGGAAUGGAACUCAGUCUCUUGGGCCUGUUAGAGCUUCUCAGCAGAGAGCAGUGGCAAGGAGCACGGGUGACCGAAAUGUUUUACAAGGAAGUUAUUGAAUGGACCAGGAAAUGCUGCAGGUCCAUCAGAUUAAAGUGCAGAAACCAAACCAUCCUGGAUCUCGUAGACUUAGCUGUUUGCGGGAGGACGGGAAGCUUUUAAUGUCGGUCACCGCUAAGGAACACGGGUUGCUUCAGGACGGGGCACGAAUGACGGAAUUCCUUAAACUUGAUCUCAAAAUUCUGGAAUGCGAAUGAAGCUUGAAUCCUCAAGAAGACAUUUGAAGAAAAUAAAGCAAACAUUGUUUCAUGUAGCAAGAGCCAAGUCAUAGAACCCAUUGUCCGUUGACGCCAGUAAAUGAGCUCAAGAAAAAUUUCUAUCAGGUGACGCCGGAAGAGGGGUCUCUGGUCACUGCAGAAAAUAGGGUGCCGUCUACCCGGACCCUUUCCCUAGUGGAGUCAAAUCCUGUUGUGCAUUAAAUACUUUCAGAAGAUGCAGGUUCCUCCUAAAAACCCAUAACAAUGGAUUUUCUUUCUCCGAGGGUGUGUGUGUGUUUUUUUAACCUUUUUCUUUUGAGCUGAUUUUGCGUGUGCAGAAGAGUUGCAAAAAAUACCAUGAACAGUUCCUGUAUACCCAUCAGCCAGUUUCUUCAAUCUCACGUUAACAGUGGUACGCCUACCAAGACCAGGAAAUGAACGUUGGUGCAAAACGGCCAACGAAACUCCACGUUUUAUUGAGAUCUCUCACCAUUUUCCCGCUUGUGUUCUGUUUCCGUUCCAGGAUCUCAUCCAGGACCCUACAGUCCUUUUAGUUAUCUCGUAUCCAUUCUCCUCCAAUCUGAGUCGGUCCCUCCGUAUAAAGGGUGUUUAUUACCAAGAAUCCCUAGAGAUCAUGGCUGUUAGGUACAUUUGAUAAUAAAGGGGAUUUAGAGUGUUGAAAGGUAGUUACGAAAUAAGAAUUUUAAUCUAGACACUUGCGAGCAUCACUGAACGUAUAGAGUUAUCAGCUCUAUUUAUUUAUUUAAAUGUUUAUUUUUGAGAGAGAGAGAGAGAGAGCAAGAGAGAGAGAGAGAGAGAGAGAGAGCGUGUGUGCAUGCGUGCACAGGAGGGGCAGAGAGAGGGGAACAGAGGAUCCCAAGUAGGUUCUGUGCUGACAGCGGAGAGCCCGAUGUGGGGCUCGAACUCAUGAACCGUGAGAUCACGACCUGAGCUGAAGUCGCAUGCCUACCUGACUGAGCCACCCAGGCGCCCCUACGAGAUUUUAUUUUUAAGCAAUCUCCACCCAACCUGGGGCUCAAACUCACAGCCCCAACUGAGAUCGAGAGUCGUGUGCUGUACUGACUGAGCCAGCUGGGCACCCCUUUAUUUUAAGACCACCCCAACAUCUUCUAAAAUCAUUUUUUUUAAUAUUUGCAAAAUGCUUUAGAAAGUUCUACUUGCUCUGAAAAGUAGUGAGAGGCAGGAACCAAGCUUUGACAAUUUGCUCAUUUUACUUAAAAGCAAAUUGAGCCAUAGGGGAGUUGUAUAUUUUGCAUGCACUUGAACAGAAGUUUCAGGCACACUGGCAGGUGGAAAAAAAGACGGCAAAUUACCACAGCGAUUGAAAAGUAAACCUCAUUUCAUCAACCUUUUUUUAUUAUGACAGUAACUGAAAUUGAGAAGGAAAGACAAAAUCUUCCAAAAUUGUAUACCCUCGAAUAAAUCAAAUGUUUUACUCGUCAAAAGGUGAGAUCGUAAGUGCUUUCAAAUGCCUUCAAAAUAUUUGUCCCGUAUAUCUAGUUUGUGUUAAGAUUAUUUAUUUAUGUUAUGAGAGAGAGCGUCAGCGUGAGCGGGGGAGGG